UACGUAGGGUGCAAGCGUUGUCCGGAAUUAUUGGGCGUAAAGAGCUCGUAGGCGGCUUGUCGCGUCGGCUGUGAAAACCUGGGGCUCAACCCCGGGCCUGCAGCCGAUACGGGCAAGCUAGAAUUCGGUAGGGGAGACUGGAAUUCCUGGUGUAGCGGUGAAAUGCGCAGAUAUCAGGAGGAACACCGGUGGCGAAGGCGGUUCUCUGGGCCUGUACUGACGCUGAGGAACGAAAGCGUGGGGAGCGAACAGG
rnacentral:rRNA from 1 species